rnacentral:rRNA from 1 species
UACGGGGGGAGCAAGCGUUGUUCGGAUUUACUGGGCGUAAAGCGAACGUAGGCGGUGUUCCAUGUCAGAGGUGAAAGCCUGGGGCUCAACUCCAGAAUUGCCUUUGAAACGGGGACGCUUGAGUCCGAGAGAGGAUGGCGGAAUUCCUAGUGUAGAGGUGAAAUUCGUAGAUAUUAGGAAGAACACCAGUGGCGAAGGCGGCCAUCUGGCUCGGUACUGACGCUCAGGUUCGAAAGCGUGGGGAGCAAACAGG